AGAGUUUGAUCCUGGCUCAGGAUGAACGCUAGCGACAGGCCUAACACAUGCAAGUCGAGGGGCAGCGAAGAGGUAGCAAUACCUCUGUCGGCGACCGGCGCACGGGUGAGUAACACGUAUGCAAUCCACCUGUAACAGGGGGAUAACCCGGAGAAAUCCGGACUAAUACCCCAUAAUAUGGGCGCUCCGCAUGGAGGGCUCAUUAAAGAAAGCAAUUUUGGUUACAGACGAGCAUGCGCUCCAUUAGCCAGUUGGCGGGGUAACGGCCCACCAAAGCGACGAUGGAUAGGGGUUCUGAGAGGAAGGUCCCCCACAUUGGAACUGAGACACGGUCCAAACUCCUACGGGAGGCAGCAGUGAGGAAUAUUGGUCAAUGGUCGGCAGACUGAACCAGCCAAGUCGCGUGAGGGAAGACGGCCCUACGGGUUGUAAACCUCUUUUGUCGGAGAGUAAAGUGCGCUACGCGUAGCGUAUUGCAAGUAUCCGAAGAAAAAGCAUCGGCUAACUCCGUGCCAGCAGCCGCGGUAAUACGGAGGAUGCAAGCGUUAUCCGGAUUUAUUGGGUUUAAAGGGUGCGUAGGCGGCACGCCAAGUCAGCGGUGAAAUUUCCGGGCUCAACCCGGAAUGUGCCGUUGAAACUGGCGAGCUAGAGUACACAAGAGGCAGGCGGAAUGCGUGGUGUAGCGGUGAAAUGCAUAGAUAUCACGCAGAACCCCGAUUGCGAAGGCAGCCUGCUAGGGUGAAACAGACGCUGAGGCACGAAAGCGUGGGUAUCGAACAGGAUUAGAUACCCUGGUAGUCCACGCAGUAAACGAUGAAUACUAACUGUUUGCGAUACAAUGUAAGCGGUACAGCGAAAGCGUUAAGUAUUCCACCUGGGGAGUACGCCGGCAACGGUGAAACUCAAAGGAAUUGAC
rnacentral:rRNA from 1 species